rfam:Enterococcus haemoperoxidus ATCC BAA-382 genomic scaffold acvJN-supercont1.2, whole genome shotgun sequence.
AAAAGCACGCUCCUUUUUGGUUGGGUUUCGUCACUUUAAUCUUACAAGGUUGUGUGCUUUUUGUGU